rnacentral:tRNA from 1 species
AGGGAUUUAGCUCAGUGGUAGAGUGCUUACCUAGUAUGUGUGAGGUUCUGAAUUCAAUCCCUA